UGGUAAACUGCUGGCCUAAA
rnacentral:misc_RNA from 1 species